rnacentral:rRNA from 1 species
AUUGAACGCUGGCGGCAUGCCUAAUACAUGCAAGUCGAACGCUUUUUCUUUCACCGGAGCUUGCUCCACCGAAAGAAAAAGAGUGGCGAACAGGUGAGUAACACGUGGGUAACCUGCCCAUCAGAAGGGGAUAACACUUGGGAACAGGUGCUAAUACCGUAUAACACUAUUUUCCGCAUGGAAGAAAGUUGAAAGGCGCUUUUGUGUCACUGAUGGAUGGACCCGGGGUGCAUUAGCUAGUUGGUGAGGUAACGGCUCACCAAGGCAACGAUGCAUAGCCGACCUGAGAGGGUGAUCGGCCACACUGGGACUGAGACACGGCCCAGACUCCUACGGGAGGCAGCAGUAGGGAAUCUUCGGCAAUGGACGAAAGUCUGACCGAGCAACGCCGCGUGAGUGAAGAAGGUUUUCGGAUCGUAAAACUCUGUUGUUAGAGAAGAACAAGGAUGAGAGUAAAACGUUCAUCCCUUGACGGUAUCUAACCAGAAAGCCACGGCUAACUACGUGCCAGCCGCCGCGGUAA